AGUGAACGCUGGCGGUAGGCCUAACACAUGCAAGUCGAACGGCAGCACAGUAAGAGCUUGCUCUUACGGGUGGCGAGUGGCGGACGGGUGAGGAAUACAUCGGAAUCUACUUUUUCGUGGGGGAUAACGUAGGGAAACUUACGCUAAUACCGCAUACGACCUACGGGUGAAAGCAGGGGAUCUUCGGACCUUGCGCGAUUGAAUGAGCCGAUGUCGGAUUAGCUAGUUGGCGGGGUAAAGGCCCACCAAGGCGACGAUCCGUAGCUGGUCUGAGAGGAUGAUCAGCCACACUGGAACUGAGACACGGUCCAGACUCCUACGGGAGGCAGCAGUGGGGAAUAUUGGACAAUGGGCGCAAGCCUGAUCCAGCCAUACCGCGUGGGUGAAGAAGGCCUUCGGGUUGUAAAUCCCUUUUGUCGGGAAAGAAAAGCAGCAGGUUAAUACCCCGCUGUUCUGACGGUACCCAAAGAAUAAGCACCGGCUAACUUCGUG
rnacentral:rRNA from 1 species